UACGGGGGGUGCGAGCGUUGUCCGGAAUCACUGGGCGUAAAGGGCGCGUAGGUGGUUUGAUAAGGGUGUGGUGAAAGUCCAGGGCUCAACCCUGGAAAGCCGGCCGAUACUGUCGGACUAGAGUCCGGAAGAGGCAAGUGGAAUUCCCGGUGUAGCGGUGAAAUGCGUAGAUAUCAGGAGGAACACCUGUGGCGAAAGCGGCUCACUGGACCAUAACUGACGCUGAUGCACGAAAGCUAGGGGAGCAAACAGG
rnacentral:rRNA from 1 species